rnacentral:rRNA from 1 species
GUAGGUGGCAAGCGUUGUCCGGAAUUAUUGGGCGUAAAGCGCGCGCAGGCGGUUCUUUAAGUCUGAUGUGAAAGCCCACGGCUCAACCGUGGAGGGUCAUUGGAAACUGGAGAACUUGAGUACAGAAGAGGAAAGCGGAAUUCCACGUGUAGCGGUGAAAUGCGUAGGGAUGUGGAGGAACACCAGUGGCGAAGGCGGCUUUCUGGUCUGUAACUGACGCUGAGGCGCGAAAGCGUGGGGAGCAAACAGGAUUAGAUACCCUGGUAGUCCACGCCGUAAACGAUGAGUGCUAAGUGUUAGGGGGGUUUCCGCCCCCCUUAGUGCUGCAGCUAACGCAUUAAGCACUCCGCCUGGGAGUACGGCCGCAAGGCUG